rnacentral:rRNA from 1 species
UACGUAGGGUGCAAGCGUUGUCCGGAAUUAUUGGGCGUAAAGAGCUCGUAGGCGGUUUCGUAAGUCGGAUGUGAAAACUCCAGCUCAACUUGGAGACGCCAUUCGAUACUGCGAUGACUUGAGUCCGGUAGGGGAGUGUGGAAUUCCUGGUGUAGCGGUGGAAUGCGCAGAUAUCAGGAGGAACACCAAUAGCGAGGGCAGCUCGCUGGGACGGUACUGACGCUAAGGCGCGAAAGCGUGGGGAGCAAACAGG